CAGCAGUAGCCGCGGUAAUACAGAGGGUGCGAGCGUUAAUCGGAUUUACUGGGCGUAAAGCGUGCGUAGGCGGCUAAUUGAGUCGGAUGUGAAAUCCCAGAGCUUAACUUGGGAAUUGCAUUCGAUACUGGUUAGCUAGAGUGUGGGAGAGGAUGGUAGAAUUCCAGGUGUAGCGGUGAAAUGCGUAGAGAUCUGGAGGAAUACCGAUGGCGAAGGCAGCCAUCUGGCCUAACACUGACGCUGAGGUACGAAAGCAUGGGGAGCAAACAGGAUUAGAUACCCGUGUAGUCCCUGUCUCUUAUAA
rnacentral:rRNA from 1 species